rnacentral:rRNA from 1 species
AUGAACGCUAGCUACAGGCUUAACACAUGCAAGUCGAGGGGAAACGACAUCGAAAGCUUGCUUUUGAUGGGCGUCGACCGGCGCACGGGUGAGUAACGCGUAUCCAACCUGCCCAUCACUUGGGAAUAACCUUGCGAAAGUAAGACUAAUACCCAAUGACAUCCCACGAAGACAUCUGAAUGGGAUUAAAGAUUUAUCGGUGAUGGAUGGGGAUGCGUCUGAUUAGCUUGUUGGCGGGGUAACGGCCCACCAAGGCAACGAUCAGUAGGGGUUCUGAGGGGAAGGUCCCCCACAUGGGAACUGAGACACGGUCCAAACUCCUGCGGGAGGCAGCAGUGAGGAAUAGUGGUCAAUGGGCGAGAGCCUGAACCAGCCAAGUAGCGUGCAGGAUGACGGCCCUAUGGGUUGUAAACUGCUUUUAUAAGGGAAUAAAGUGGGUCUCGUGAGACUUUUUGCAUGUACCUUAUGAAUAAGGACCGGCUAAUUCCGUG